UACGUAGGGGGCUAGCGUUGUCCGGAAUCAUUGGGCGUAAAGCGCGUGUAGGCGGUCCGGUAAGUCCGCUGUGAAAGUCGGGGGCUCAACCCUCGGAUGCCGGUGGAUACUGUCGGGCUUGAGUACGGAAGAGGCGAGUGGAAUCCCUGGUGUAGCGGUGAAAUGCGCAGAUAUCAGGAAGAACACCCGUGGCGAAAGCGGCUCUCUGGAACGGUACUGACACUCAUGAGCGAAAGCGUGGGGAGCGAUCCGG
rnacentral:rRNA from 1 species